GCCGCCAUGGUGAAAUCGGUAGACACG
rnacentral:tRNA from 9 species